rnacentral:rRNA from 1 species
UACGUAGGGUGCGAGCGUUGUCCGGAAUUAUUGGGCGUAAAGAGCUUGUAGGCGGUCUGUCGCGUCUGCUGUGAAAAUCCGGGGCUCAACCCCGGACUUGCAGUGGGUACGGGCAGACUAGAGUGUGGUAGGGGAGACUGGAAUUCCUGGUGUAGCGGUGAAAUGCGUAGAUAUCAGGAGGAACACCUGUGGCGAAGGCGGCCCUCUGGACGGAUACUGACGCUGAGACGCGAAAGCGUGGGGAGCAAACAGG